UUUAUGGAGAGUUUGAUCCUGGCUCAGGAUGAACGCUGGCGGCGUGCCUAAUACAUGCAAGUCGAGCGAACGGACGAGAAGCUUGCUUCUCUGAUGUUAGCGGCGGACGGGUGAGUAACACGUGGAUAACCUACCUAUAAGACUGGGAUAACUUCGGGAAACCGGAGCUAAUACCGGAUAAUAUUUUGAACCGCAUGGUUCAAAAGUGAAAGACGGUCUUGCUGUCACUUAUAGAUGGAUCCGCGCUGCAUUAGCUAGUUGGUAAGGUAACGGCUUACCAAGGCAACGAUGC
rnacentral:rRNA from 1 species